rnacentral:rRNA from 5 species
GGACUGAGACACGGCCCAGACUCCUACGGGAGGCAGCAGUGGGGAAUUUUGGACAAUGGGCGCAAGCCUGAUCCAGCAAUGCCGCGUGUGUGAAGAAGGCCUUCGGGUUGUAAAGCACUUUUGUCCGGAAAGAAAACUUCUGGGUUAAUACCCUGGGAGGAUGACGGUACCGGAAGAAUAAGCACCGGCUAACUACGUGCCAGCAGCCGCGGUAAUACGUAGGGUGCAAGCGUUAAUCGGAAUUACUGGGCGUAAAGCGUGCGCAGGCGGUUCGCUAAGACAGAUGUGAAAUCCCCGGGCUUAACCUGGGAACUGCAUUUGUGACUGGCGGGCUAGAGUAUGGCAGAGGGGGGUAGAAUUCCACGUGUAGCAGUGAAAUGCGUAGAGAUGUGGAGGAAUACCGAUGGCGAAGGCAGCCCCCUGGGCCAAUACUGACGCUCAUGCACGAAAGCGUGGGGAGCAACAGAUUAGAUACCCUGGUAGUCCACGCCCUAAACGAUGUCAACUAGUUGUCGGGUCUUCAUUGACUUGGUAACGUAGCUAACGCGUGAAGUUGACCGCCUGGGGAGUACGGUCGCAAGAUUAAAACUCAAAGGAAUUGACGGGACCCGCACAAGCGGUGGAUGAUGUGGAUUAAUUCGAUGCAACGCGAAAAACCUUACCUACCCUUGACAUGUAUGGAANCUNGCUGAGAGGNNGGAGUGCCCGAAAGGGAGCCAUAACACAGGUGCUGCAUNNCUGUCGUCAGCUCGUGUCGUGAGAUGUUGGGUUAAGUCCCGCAACGAGCGCAACCCUUGUCCCUAGUUGCUACGCAAGAGCACUCCAGGGAGACUGCCGGUGACAAACCGGAGGAAGGUGGGGAUGACGUCAAGUCCUCAUGGCCCUUAUGGGUAGGGCUUCACACGUCAUACAAUGGUCGGAACAGAGGGUCGCCAACCCG